GACGAACGCUGGCGGCGUGCUUAACACAUGCCAGUCGAACGGAAAGGCCCUGCUUUUGCGGGGUGCUCGAGUGGCGAACGGGUGAGUAACACGUGAGUAACCUGCCCUUGACUUUGGGAUAACUUCAGGAAACUGGGGCUAAUACCGGAUAGGAGCUCCUGCUGCAUGGUGGGGGUUGGAAAGUUUCGGCGGUUGGGGAUGGACUCGCGGCUUAUCAGCUUGUUGGUGGGGUAGUGGCUUACCAAGGCUUUGACGGGUAGCCGGCCUGAGAGGGUGACCGGCCACAUUGGGACUGAGAUACGGCCCAGACUCCUACGGGAGGCAGCAGUGGGGAAUAUUGCACAAUGGGCGGAAGCCUGAUGCAGCAACGCCGCGUGCGGGAUGACGGCCUUCGGGUUGUAAACCGCUUUCGCCUGUGACGAAGCGUGAGUGACGGUAAUGGGUAAAGAAGCACCGGCUAACUACGUG
rnacentral:rRNA from 1 species